rnacentral:lncRNA from 1 species
GGCGGCGGCGCGGCCGGGCCGGGCGUGCGGAGCUGCGGCAGCCCCGGGAGAGGCGGUGCGGAGCGGUGCGGAGCAGAGCGGCAGCAUGGUGAGUGCUGGGGCGCCCCGAGGAGCCGGGCAGCCCGGGCAGGGCUCCCCCGGGGUGUCCGGGCAGUGGCCGGGGGGGUCCCGCACCCGGCGCGCCCCCCUUGCCCUUGCCGGGGUUCAUCCUGUCCCCAGCUCCUGCGCGCACCCAGGCGCGCCCCAGCUCCUCCGAGCACCCCCUGCAGCCCUGGGAGCCGCUGGGCAAGGUGCGGGGAGCCCCGAGUUUUGGCUGAACCCCUCACCGCGCCUCCUCCUCCAUCCUCUGACAGCCCCUGGUCCCACGGCGCGCCGGCUUUGCGCCCAGGCUGCCGGGCUCAGGCUGCAACCCCACAACUGAGCUCUGGGAUCCAGUCCCGGCUUCACCCCCUGCCCUGCCGCUGUGGUGCCAGCGUAGGGCAUGUGGGGUGCCCCGGUGCCCUGCCUGCUGCCCCAGGCUUUUUGGGGAGGGAAGGCAGAGCGAGGAGCCCUGUCCUGUGUCUUCUUUCCCGUGGCCACCCCAGGGUGCUUACAGCAGUGUUGGUGUUGGCUGCACGCUUCUGCCGGGGUCCUGGAGUUUCCUCCCCGUUGGUCGUUGUGAUACCAAACCUUUAUGGAGCUGCUGGGGGGGACAGGGGAACUCCUCGUUCUCAGCAUUGGGAAGGAAGGAGAGAUGGGCUUCUGCUCCUCACCAAGGGUACCAAUGCUUAUCCCUGCCACUGCAGCCUCGGGAGAGCAGCUCCGACAGCUCCCCAGAUGCUCAGAGCCAGGUGUGCGUGCCGUGACCCGCACUGCCUCCCGGGGCGGCCGUCGGUGCCGUACCCCUGUGCACAAAAUGGCUCCAGCGCCUUCCUGCCAGCUGACUCACAGCGGGGCACUGGCUGCUCUGGAAAUCCGGUCUGGUUUGGAUGCUCCUCUGCCUCGGCUGUGCCUGAUGACGCAUCCAACCCUUGGCAACAACAGGACCGAGGCACCGAGUGUUUUGGUGCGCAUCGAGAGGGCUGCAGCCUCCGCGGUGCCUCACCUGGAGGGAAGGAGGGGAGGAAGGAGGCUGUAGGACUGACCUCGGCUGCACUUUCCCCAAGGCACUGCGCUGUAGGGGACCCUCCCACAUCAGCCCUUCAGCUCAGCUGCAAAGUGAGCUAA